AGGCCUUGCCAACAUCUGUCCUGGAGCAUCAGUGUCAACAGCUUUGGACAGCGGCAGCCCCAGAGCCCUGGGCCCGGUGUGUUCUUGUUGCACAGGCAGUGGGAAGAAGAGGCCGGCUGCCGCUCCAGCAGGCCAGACAGAAGCUAAUUACAGCAACCUGAACCUGCCAUGACUAACAUGCUUAUUUAAUUUCAGAUGUUUGUUUGUUGACCUACAGAAAUCAAAUAUAGCGGCCUCCUGGGCCAGGCCUCUUCUGGGGCCCUGGGAGUAAUGUCUGUGUGCGGAGCAAUUACGCAGGCCUGAGUCUAGGCAGGGGUUUGGUUGCGCGGCAAUACCUGGAACGGAAUCCACUUGGAAACAGGUACCCCGGUGGCCUGGUGAGAGCCCAUCGAAGCACACGGGCCUGGAGAGGCCUUCAGUUGCUGAGAAUGGUGGUAAUGACUACUAACGAUUACUGGGCAUCAGUGAAGGCUGCACCACAUCUUGCCUGAUCUGCCAGCAUCUCUCCAGAAGGACGUUCUCCCCAACACACUGAGGUUUGCGCGCUGCCAAGAGGCUCCCCCUAAAAGACGGUUUCAGGUUCUGCCGUUCUUCCAUGCAGAAGACUGCAGAAGCUGGUGACUGCCCCGAAUGCCCCUUGAUCUGCUUGAAUCCCAAGCACCAAAUGGUGACUGCCAUCUGCUUCUUCAAACUCAUCCUCCAACGCACCCAUCUCCCUCCCUGAACCUGCCAACAUCCCAAGCCUGAGGCCGGAGGUGCCAAAUCUCCCUCUCGACUCUGCCUGUGAGAAUCCUACCUCUAUCUUUUCAAAUGCUGCCUUUUUCCUGCAGGCGAUUCUAACCCCAACCUAACUUAUCCCUUCCAGCAAGCAUACCCUGGAUGUAGGAGCUGUUUCCUUGUACAUCCACACUGUGCUUGACACCUUCCACAAGAUGCCACUCCUGGCCCGGCCAUGAACUAGCUAUGAAUUUGCCCGAGCACUUCAUUGGAUCACAUUCAAAUGUGUAUUCUUGUAAUGUUUAGGACAAUGUCCUGAUCAUGUGUCAAUACUCGGCACAUAUUAGUGACUAUAGCCAUGAGGGGUAGACCAAAUACAUGUGUUCUGCUUUUGAGAAAAUUGGGAAGAUUUUUAAUCAUCAUUUUUGUUAAGAAAAGAUUAGGACAAAGCGGUAUGCUAAAUGGUUUGAUAAUAUAUAACAUUCCAAAUAAAAUGUUAAUCAAC